rnacentral:rRNA from 1 species
GACGAACGCUGGCGGCGUGCCUAAUACAUGCAAGUUGAGCGCUGAAGGUUGGUACUUGUACCAACUGGAUGAGCAGCGAACGGGUGAGUAACGCGUGGGGAAUCUGCCUUUGAGCGGGGGACAACAUUUGGAAACGAAUGCUAAUACCGCAUAAAAACUUUAAACACAAGUUUUAAGUUUGAAAGAUGCAAUUGCAUCACUCAAAGAUGAUCCCGCGUUGUAUUAGCUAGUUGGUGAGGUAAAGGCUCACCAAGGCGAUGAUACAUAGCCGACCUGAGAGGGUGAUCGGCCCAAUUGGGAAUGAGACACCGCCCAAACUCCUACGGGGGGCAGCAGUAGGGAAUCUUCGGCAAUGGACGAAAGUCUGACCGAGCAACGCCGCGUGAGUGAAGAAGGGUUUCGGAUCGUAAAACUCUGUUGGUAGAGAAGAACGUUGGUGAGAGUGGAAAGCUCAUCAAGUGACGGUAACUACCCAGAAAGGGACGGCUAACUACGUG